CUCCAUUACGACUGUAAUCAAGCUCGGGAAGGCACGCGACAUACUUAUACCGGUCGAGGUGGGGAGGUGUUAGAGAGCUGCACUGUCACAGAGGGUUGUCGUUCC